CUGCAGAGAGAUCACUGACACAAAGUCAAGAGGACAGACCUCUAAAUAUAAUACCACCUUUUAUAAAAUGAACAGAGCUAAUGCAAGAGUUAGCUGAUGUUUAUAAUCAAGCUUCUGCCAAGAAGGAUAUUUUCAGAAGUCUGAACAACCUGGUGAAGACUGUGUAGUUUUUCAUCCUGAAUUUUUGGUAUUAUGGAUAACAAAGAUUCUGAGCCUGUCUGUGGCUGUUACAAGGAAAUGAACCUGUCAGCUCUUCUGUGGAGGUCUGUUCAUGGAUUAAGCUCCAAUGUGGAUCACAGCGGACUGUACUGCCUGUUGAGAAGCAUAUGUUCGACACAGUGAAGAGUUCUAUCAAUACAGCACCAAUGUCAGAGAUUUGGCUGCUUCCCAGAAUCAACACGCAGCAUUGUCUGGACUCCAUAUAUUUAAUAUAGCAUCCUUGCACUUGGAGGAAUUUGUGAUUUGAAGUGAUUUGAGGAAAGGAGCAACUACAAAUCUCAACCUCCAGUCUCCCAGGAAUAAGGGAAAAAACAAGUUAUUGCGCACAUCUGG
rnacentral:lncRNA from 1 species